GGGGGGCACUGUUCUGUCUAUUGCAGGAUGAGGAGAGAAGAGAGACAAUGGUGGCCUCCAGCUCCAAGACUGGCACUUUCACCCCCAGCCCAGCUUGGCUCCUUCACCCAGCCGGGAGAUGCCUGCCGCCUCCAAUACGGUGGGACCACUGCCUUUCCCAAACACUGCUCACCACCGUGCUGGGUUCCAUCCUUACCUGGACUGUUGGCAGAGACCAGCCUUGGUCUUCUCGAGUCUAGGUGACAGUGACUACUGUGCACUGAACACCUACUGUGCACCAGGCUUGGUUUGAAUCCGUAUGACUACUCUUUGAGGAGAGAGUGUUAUACUCAUUUUAGAGAUGAAGAGACUAAGGCUGGCGAGUGCAACUCACCCAACACCACUCAAAUGGGGGAAUGUGGAAUUACAUGUGUGGAGAUUUUAAAAUCAAUUUUAUUUUAUUUCUGCCUUUAUUAUGCCCGCUUCCAUUGUUUUUAUUAGUAUUUGUCCACAAAGUCUUUGAUAUUCCUCCUUCAAAAGGGGAACCUCAUUCUCCUCCCCUUAGCGUGGCUGUACUUGUUUGCUGGCUUCUUGAGAAUAUAAUGUCUAUGACAUCUGAGACUAGGACAGCAAAGGAACUGUGGCCUCUUCCUUGCUUUCUCGUAGGCACUUAGCUCAGGGGAAGCCAGGUGCAUGGUGUAAGGACAUUUAGGCAGCCCUACUGAGAGCUGAGUGAAGCAUUCUGGAAGAGCCAGCCCCAGUCAAGCACUCAAAUGAUGGCAGCCCAGCCACCCUCUUAACCCAUGAGAGACGCCGGUUGGAGCCAGGACCAUCCAGUUAAGCUGCUCUGGAAUUCCUUUUUCUUUUUAAAUCUUUUUCCCCUUUUUUCUUUUUAUGCCACACCUGCAGCAUAUGGACGUUCUCAGGCUAGGGGUCAAAUAGGAGCUGCAGCUGCCGGCCUGUGCCACCAGCCACAGCCACAGCCACAGCCACGCCAGAUCUGAGCAGCAUCUGUGACCUACACUGCAGCUUGCAGCAAUGCCAGAUUCUUAACCCACUGAGCGAGGCCGGGGAUGGAACCCGCGUCCUCAGGGACACUAUGUCGGGUUCUUAACCUGCUGAGCCACACCAGUAACUCCUUCUCCCUCCCUUAUGAUCUCUCCAGGGCUGGUUUCUUCUAGAGCCUUCAGGCCAUGGCAGGGGUUCUUUCAAGAAGGGUAAUGAGUGGGCAGCUAGAGGACCAGACCUUUAGAGAACUUUGUGUAGGAAAAGCUUCCUCCACUUUGAAGGCAUUGCAGAGCCACACAGGCAAAGCGCAGGCAAGAGAAUAACAGAUACCCACAUUCGGUUACCUAUACACAAUUUCAGGACACUCGAGUUAAUUUGAGCCAUUCUCCUAAGACAUAAAAUUACUGAGAUCUGCUGUUGUGUUUCUCGCAUGAUCUUAGUUCCCAAACCCAACAUACUCUAAACCCCUCUCCUUCCCAAUCUCCCCUACCCCCCAAAUCCAAAUCAGAUAUCAGGUAUUUAUAUACUGACAGGUUUAUUUUUUCCUUAAAGCUUGAACAAAUACAUCUUUCCACACAGUUGGUAGAAUUGGUAGAGAAGUAAGCCCUUACUGCUUUACAUAAAACUUUCUGGCCAAAAUCCAAAGUCCAUCCACUUUUUUGAUACAUGUGUGUUUUCCAUGUUUUCCAGUCCUCACAACCCAUCGAGACCUGUCUGAGCGGAGGGAGAGCUAACUUUGAGAGCAGGAAGGGACAAUAACACGUGCCUUUUGCAAGUAUUAAAGACAAGCAGCUGUAGGAUUCUGAGAAUUCUCAGUAAAUAGUUCAUAGGAUUCUGAGAAUUCUCAAUAAAUAGUUCAUAGUAUACAAAUGCUUAACUCCAUAGCGUUUACCUUUAAUCAAUGGCAGUACCAGUUAUCACUAUAAUAAAGGAUUCAAGGGACAUUCAAGGGGCUACACAUAUUUAUAGCAGCAAGAGACAUGUAUCAUUUAGCCCUUCUAAUAAUCCCCAAAGAGGGAAAAAGUUCAUUAUAAAUUGAUACUUGACGAUUCUAGCCCAGCUAGUGUUAAUCAGGUUUUAAAAAUCUACCAUAAAGUGUUAUAAAUAUGGGAUUCAGGAAAGCAGCCUAAGAAAAGCUUCUGCUUACCUAAUUCAGGAGGUAACAAGCUACUCCCUUUGAGGAGAAUUCAUGCUAGAUUAAUAUUACUAAAAACAAUGGAAGAUGGCAUCAAGGCAGGCAUUAAAUAAAAUUUGUCCUUGAUAGGAGAAUCAUUUUGCAUUGUAAGAGUGUCUUAGGUUCUUUUAGAUAGACAGAAAAAAAAGGUCAUGCAAAUUGUGAGUUUUAACUGUAAUCACAUGCUAAUUGAGGGACUGUCAAAGGUUUGCCCCAGAAGGACCUUUUCAAAGAGGUUAAAAACUUAUUCUAAUUAACAUACAAAUUGAGGCUUACAACCCAAAGAAGGCAAAACCCUCUACUCUUAAAGCAAACCCUAUCUAUAGAUGUCACAGAAAAGAAAUGUUUGCUUCUUUCUUGAAUGAAAAGGAAUUUUCCAUAUUGGAAAACUGGGGGUACAGUGAGAGAGGGGGAGACAAAGAGACAGAGAUCCAGGUAAAGAACCUGAUUAAGGCAGGCAGAACAUGACAAAGAUCAACCGAGGAGGAAUACAAGUAAGCGUGCCAAAUACAACAGUUCCCUCCUUUGAUGAGUGAGCUGGUGGGGGAUGGAGGUAGCUUCAGGAACCUUCCCCCGGCCGCCUGGGAGUCUGAAUAUCACAGCUGCUGCUCCUCUAUUCAGGGAAUGAUGAAUUAGCCACUGCUUAUCAGGCAACUAACAGAGCCAGCAAUAAAAAGAUUGCAAAGACACUGUCAGAAACAGCCCUUUUGAAACCGGAAACAAAGUUUUGGCCAGAGGUGAACAUGCACUCAUAUGUCUGAAAAAAGAAGUUUUUAAGAGGCUGGGGGUGGUGGUGGUGGGGGCAGCGCGUGGCGGCACCGACUACAGGUCUUUUAUUUUAGAAACAUAUCCACUUCAGUUGGUGAUUUUUCUGUCUUAAAGACCACCUUGGACUGCUACAUAGCUAAUAUGACCGGACAGCAAAGAGCUGUUUAAAACUGUCUAAAAUGUUAAGUGGGUGGGUAUCUACAGAUAAUCCCUGGCCCAGGGUUUCAAGUCUAAGGCUGCUUCAUUUUCAUAUGGUGACAGGGUAACCUGGAUUGCAGCAAGGCAGCAAGAAUAAGAAGGAAUACCUCGGGGAGAGAGAAAGGAUAAAUGAGAGAGGAGAAAGAGAGAAAACAGAAAUGAAAGCCAAACAAAAAAAUACAAUUAAAGUGACUUACUUUGUUGAUGCCAAUUUGGGCCAGUUAGCAAAACCACAGCAUUAUCAUUUGUCAAAGACGCAACAAAGGGUGGAUUUAAACAUCAAAGUUAGAUAUGUCCCUAAACCUGACCUGCUAAAGCCAAAUCAGCAUAUUAUUUCAAAGCCCUCUUACCUGGCAGCUGGUGCUAUGCUAGAAUGCUUUCCUUGUCUCUUGCUGUGUGUCUCCUGUCUCUUGGAAGCAUGCUCCUUGGAAGUAUAGGGAAUUCCUAUCCUGGCGCAGCGGUAAUGAACCUGACUAGGAUCUAUGAGGACAUGGGUUCGACCCCUGGCCUCGCUUGGAGGGUCAAGGAUCCAGCCUUGCUGUGAGCUGUGGUGCAGGUUGCAGACUCGGCUCAGAUCCUACGUUGCUGUGGAUGUGGUAUAGGCUGGCAGCUGUAGCUCCAAUCGAUCCCUAGCCUGAGAAUUUCCAUAUGUCGCAGGUGCAGCC
rnacentral:lncRNA from 1 species